GCCAGCUUCCAGUUAAUCUGUAGAUAUCUGUUGACAUGAAGGCUGAGAGUGUGUCCUCUGCUUGGCUUCCAGACCCUUAUUGACUUUUUUGGCUGAGUGGUUAUGUUUUUACUUUAGGGAUAAGGACAGCACAGGGUGGAUUUUUGAGACUUGCAGAAGAGGAUGGAAAAUCCGGGCAGUUUGGACCAGCCUUCAUCACAGUGUAAGGAACCACAGUCUUUCCAGCAUUCCCGUCUUACUUUAGCAGUGCCCUGUGUCUGCUGCCCUUUCAGUCUCCCCAACUGGUGGGAUCUAACCCAGACUUCUGAGAAAUCAAACCUGCUGUUGGAACCAAGAGCUAACAGACGGGGUGCUGUGAGUAGGCCUUGUGCCUGGGACACCUGGUACAGUCCCGGCAGGCCCCACAGGAGGUUCUGCUCCCCGCCAGUCACCCUCAGAAGCCCCGUGCAGAAGGUUGGAGGGCAAGUACCACCACUGUCCAGGUUAAGAGGAUUCAUCAGCAAAACACCACUCUGCACUUAAGUAAACAAGAAGUAAGUAUUAUUAUACUGAUAGCCAGACAUCCUGGAAUGUUAAGCCAAGUGGGCCUUAGGAAGCAUCACUGUGAACAAAGCUAGUGGAGGUGAUGGAAUUCAAUUUGAGCUAUUUCAAAUCCUGAAAGAUGAUGCUGUGAAAGUGCUGCACUCAAUAUGCUAGCAAAUUUGGAAAACUCAGCAGUGGCCACAGGACUGGAAAAGGUCAGUUUUCAUUCCAAUCCCAAAGAAGCGCAAUGCCAAAGAAUGUUCAAACUACUGCACAAUUGCACUCAUUUCACAUGAUAGCAAAGUAAUGCUCAAAAUCCUUAAAUCCUUCAAGCCUUCAAUCCAGGCUUCAACAGUAUAUGAAACAAGAACUUGCAGAUGUUCGAGCUGGAUUUAGAAAAGGCAGAGGAACCAGAGAUAAAAUUGUCAACAUCCAUUGCAUCAUAGAAAAAGCUAGAGAAUUCCAGAAAAACAUCUACUUCUGCUUUAUUGACUAUGCUAAAGCCUUCAACUUUG
ensembl:lncRNA